GACGAACGCUGGCGGCGUGCUUAACACAUGCAAGUCGAACGGAAAGGCCCUGCUUUUGUGGGGUGCUCGAGUGGCGAACGGGUGAGUAACACGUGAGUAACCUGCCCUUGACUUUGGGAUAACUUCAGGAAACUGGGGCUAAUACCGGAUAGGAGCUCCUGCUGCAUGGUGGGGGUUGGAAAGUUUCGGCGGUUGGGGAUGGACUCGCGGCUGAUCAGCUUGUUGGUGGGGUAGUGGCUUACCAAGGCUUUGACGGGUAGCCGGCCUGAGAGGGUGACCGGCCACAUUGGGACUGAGAUACGGCCCAGACUCCUACGGGAGGCAGCGGUGGGGAAUAUUGCACAAUGGGCGGAAGCCUGAUGCAGCAACGCCGCGUGCGGGAUGACGGCCUUCGGGUUGUAAACCGCUUUCGCCUGUGACGAAGCGUGAGUGACGGUAAUGGGUAAAGAAGCACCGGCUAACUACGUG
rnacentral:rRNA from 1 species